rnacentral:rRNA from 1 species
UACGGAGGGUGCAAGCGUUAUCCGGAUUCACUGGGUUUAAAGGGUGCGUAGGUGGGUUGGUAAGUCAGUGGUGAAAUCCCCGAGCUUAACUUGGGAACUGCCAUUGAUACUAUCAGUCUUGAAUAUUGUGGAGGUUAGCGGAAUAUGUCAUGUAGCGGUGAAAUGCUUAGAUAUGACAUAGAACACCAAUUGCGAAGGCAGCUGGCUACACAUAUAUUGACACUGAGGCACGAAAGCGUGGGGAUCAAACAGG